GUGUGCGAACAGUGCGUUGCAACGGUGCCGCUCGCACCCAUCCGCCGUGCCCGUUCCGAAGGGCGCGAACGACGAAYGACGGCGAUGGCGACCGGGCACGACAUCUCAUCCGCGGUGAACCAACACACACAACGCGCGCACACGCACGGGCACACGAAAACGCAAGUCGGCCCCGCGAGUUUCGUUUUGCUGCAAACGUUUUCAGUGAGACUCGAACGACGGCCGCGGCUGCGGGGACGGCGAACUGCAGGGCGCAAACACGGAGCCGACGGCACACGACUCGGAAAUUGUUGAUGUCCACGCGAAUAUUCAUCCGAGAUCACGUACUUCAAGYGCAUCAUUGGAUAUUUGGACAAACUUAUUAGGACAAUCUAUAAGUACACGACGACACGGCGCCGACCGAACAAAAAUUACAAGUGCAGGACACGGUAUAUAUACUAUAUAGGUAUAUCAACUCGUCCGCGAUUUCGACUGAAACAGAGUACACAUACACCGUGUUCGCCGGAUAAAUCUGUGGUGGAAGGUGAAACGGCCGCCGAUGUCACGUCUUCGSACACCGCCAGUCGUGUGUUUCACUCGGAAUAAUAGUAAUAAUUGUACAAAUAACAACGAUUAGUAAUGAUAAAACAUUACAAAUCGUUAUUAUAAUAAUAUUAUUGCUAAUGCUUCAAGUCGUGCGACAAUAGGGCCGUAUAAAAUACAAGGCGACGAAACAACAGUACAUAAUUUUCUACGCCACACCUCAACCCGUUACCGCAAACUCAACAGUUAAAAUAUAUAGUGAGUAAAAACAAAAACAAAUUUUAAAAAAAAUUCUAUUAUCGUACCAGCCGAAAACGUACUCGAUAUUAUAUAUUGUAUUAUGAAUGUAUAUUUUUUUUUUGUCGGUCACGUCGCGGCUUUAURACCGAGCGGUAUACUGUCAAAAUUAGCCAAAGGUAUAAAAAAAGUGUAUAAAUUAUUAAAUGAUUGAUAUUAAUAUGUAUGAAAAAAAAUUAAAAUAUUUCGUUCCACACGUUCUAUCAAAACCAAAA